UACGAAGGGGGGCUAGCGUUGCUCGGAAUUACUGGGCGUAAAGCGCACGUAGGCGGACUGAUAAGUCAGGGGUGAAAUCCCGGGGCUCAACCCCCGGAACUGCCUUUUGAUACUGUCAGUCUAGAGUUCGAGAGAGGUGAGUGGAAUUCCGAGUGUAGAGGUGAAAUUCGUAGAUAUUCGGAGGAACACCAGUGGCGAAGGCGGCUCACUGGCUCGAUACUGACGCUGAGGUGCGAAAGCGUGGGGAGCAAACAGG
rnacentral:rRNA from 1 species